CCUACGGGAGGCAGCAGUGGGGAAUAUUGGGCAAUGGGCGCAAGCCUGACCCAGCAACGCCGCGUGAAGGAAGAAGGCUUUCGGGUUGUAAACUUCUUUUCUCAGGGACGAAGAAAGUGACGGUAACUGAGGCAUCCGCCACGGCUAACUACGUGCCAGCCGCCGCGGUAAUACGUAGGUGGCAAGCGUUAUCCGGAUUUAUUGGGUGUAAAGGGCGUGUAGGCGGGAGCGCAAGUCAGAUGUGAAACCUCAGGGCUCAACCCUGAGCCUGCAUUUGAAACUGUGGUUCUUGAGUGCUGGAGAGGCAAUCGGAAUUCCGUGUGUAGCGGUGAAAUGCGUAGAUAUACGGAGGAACACCAGUGGCGAAGGCGGAUUGCUGGACAGUAACUGACGCUGAGGCGCGAAAGCGUGGGGAGCAAACAGGAUUAGAUACCCUUGUAGUC
rnacentral:rRNA from 1 species